UAGCUCAGUCAGUAGAGCAUGAGACUCUUAAUCUCAGAGUCGUGGGUUUGUGCCCCCCAC
rnacentral:tRNA from 1 species